rnacentral:lncRNA from 1 species
GCAGAUGUCAUCACAUUCAUCACCCACGGAAUGCAACGGCGCAUUCCCAAUGCUGCUCAAGGGUGCAUAGAAUCUUAUCGAUUGGCCAAGACAUAGUUUAUACACUGGAUCUAAUCGUCUGGGGGAAGCCAUCGGUCCAGCAAACGUGAACUUGGCAUGCUGCAGGUAAUUUCUGUGUUUCUAAGCCAUUCUAUAAAGUUUGUCAGCAGCCAGUUGAUCUGAUCUUAUUAACUAUAAAACAAGAAUCCUUCUCAGACCCUCGUAAGAAUGGGUCCAAGCAAUCUGUAAAAGUUGAAGUCUGAACAAAAAUGCAUGUGAGGGAUAUGUAAAGGUUCAUAGUGGCUUGCACUCACCAUGAAGCGAACCUCAAUUUAUUUGGUGCAAAUGAGUUCCUAGUCCAGAUCAUGCAAGAUUGAUGUCUUAAUAGCUAUAUAUCCAUCUAGUUAAACUGGUCAACAAACCAUUUCAGAUGUCAUAAUCCUGCGACCAAAUCCAAAAAAAUGCUAAUGAAAAAAUACAUAGUUAGACAUAUCUGCAUAAUAGAUUUGUAAAGAGCAAGUAACCAAAAGAUUUUCGGCUGAACUUGCUUCUGUUUUCCUCUGACAAGAAGACAUAUGUCUGCUGUUAUAUUAAAGAAAAACUAGAACUAAAAGUUCAUCCAGGAGUAACCCUCAACAAAAAAGUUGAGAUAUGCAAAUGAUGGUUAUGUCUUAAUAUAAUCUAUAACUUCAUACCUAUGAAGCUCAGAUGUACAGAUACAGAUGCUGCUAAUCUUGCUAACUAGGAGAAUGUUGAAUUUGCUUCAAGCAUUGAACAACUUGCUUCAUUGUAGGCCUAGUGGAGAGGGUUUCAACAGUGCACCUGAGUGCCAAAU